rnacentral:rRNA from 1 species
GAUUAACGCUGGCGGCAUGCCUUACACAUGCAAGUCGAACGGCAGCACGGGUGCUUGCACCUGGUGGCGAGUGGCGAACGGGUGAGUAAUACAUCGGAACGUACCUUAUCGUGGGGGAUAACGCAGCGAAAGCUGUGCUAAUACCGCAUACGCCCUGAGGGGGAAAGCGGGGGAUCGCAAGACCUCGCGCGAUUAGAGCGGCCGAUGCCUGAUUAGCUAGUUGGUGGGGUAAAAGCCCACCAAGGCGACGAUCAGUAGCUGGUCUGAGAGGACGGGCGGCCACGAGUGGACUGAGACACGGCCCAGACUCCUACGGGAGGCAGCAGUGGGGAAUUUUGGACAAUGGGGGCAACCCUGAUCCAGUAAUGCCGCGUGAGUGAAGAAGGCCUUCGGGUUGUAAAGCUCUUUUGUCAGGGAAGAAACACCGGCUCUAACACAGUCCGGGAAUGACGGUACCUGAGGAAUAAGCACCGGCUAACUGCGUGCCAGCAGCCGCCGUAA